rnacentral:rRNA from 1 species
CCUACGGGAGGCUGCAGUGGGGAAUAUUGCACAAUGGGGGAAACCCUGAUGCAGCGACGCCGCGUGAGUGAAGAAGUAAUUCGUUAUGUAAAGCUCUAUCAGCAGGGAAGAAAAUGACGGUACCUGAGUAAGAAGCCCCGGCUAACUACGUGCCAGCAGCCGCGGUAAUACGUAGGGGGCAAGCGUUAUCCGGAUUUACUGGGUGUAAAGGGGGCGUAGACGGAAGUGCAAGUCUGGAGUGAAAGGCGGGGGCUCCACCCUCGGACUGCUCUUGAAACUGUACGGCUUGAGUGCAGGAGAGGUAAGUGGAGUUCCUAGUGUAGCGGUGAAAUGCGUAGAUAUUAGGAGGAACACCAGUGGCGAAGGCGGCUUACUGGACUGUAACUGACGUUGAGGCUCGAAAGCGUGGGGAGCAAACAGGAUUAGAUACCCGAGUAGUC